GCGCCUGUAGCUCAGCUGGAUAGAGCAAGUCGGUUCUAACGAUGAGGUCGGGGGUUCGAAUCCCUCCAGGCGUA
rnacentral:tRNA from 1 species